UACGUAGGGUGCGAGCGUUAAUCGGAAUUACUGGGCGUAAAGCGUGCGCAGGCGGUUUUGUAAGUCCGAUGUGAAAUCCCCGGGCUUAACCUGGGAAUGGCAUUUGGGACUGCAAGGCUUGAGUGCGGCAGAGGAGACUGGAAUUCCUGGUGUAGCAGUGAAAUGCGUAGAUAUCAGGAGGAACACCGAUGGCGAAGGCAGGUCUCUGGGCUGGCACUGACGCUCAUGCACGAAAGCGUGGGGAGCAAACAGG
rnacentral:rRNA from 1 species